AUAGCCGGCAAUCGGAAUGUGUAAUCCACUGACACUUUGGCCAGUCUACCGUGACAUUCUUGAAGCUAGAACAAGUUAAUAAAACCCACUCGGACAUGGUCAAAAAAGGGAGGGCUCCUCGACUUCAGAGUCUUCAUAAAUUUGUACUUGAGCGGCCAAGUGUGACGAACGAGAUUACUGAAAUCUUCUGGAGCAGAUCCAUUUUUCAUAGCAAAGAGCCAAGCGCAUUGAGUUGUCUUCUCUCACAGAUACAAUUCUUGUACGAUGUCUGUCAGUGUGCGUGUGUGUAUCUGAGUGAGUGCAACAAAUUGCUUUUGCUUCAGUCAGUCGCUGUCAUAAUAGUUGUUGCUUCUGCUGCUCGGCUGCCAUUGUACCUUUUUUUCUAUUGUUGCUGCUCUAGUUAGCGAUGCCGCCUGUAAUCGGACAUCAAAAUGCGAAAAUGAUACUGAAAUGGCCCCCUUCUCAUCUCCCGCCAUUGUUGGCCAAUAACGAGCGGCUAGCGAUCUGGGCGGAAAAAGUGUGCACAAUUAAUUAACUUCAGCGAGAACUUGAAAGGCUUCCAUUCAUCAAGCGAGUGUUGAGGUGACAACAGCAAAUGUUUGCAAAAUUCUUGCACAAUCGAAUGGCAUAAAUUACAACUCCCAAAAAAUUAUAACAAAACAGGAAAAUAAAAGCUGCAAAUAAAUGAAUACACAUGUGAGCGUGUGCAGAAACCAAACUGUGAAACAAAAAGCAAUUGUCACAUAAACAAAGUCUCACGUAACGGCUAUAAAUAUGCGAGCAAGAAAGAGCGAGGUUAACAUUGCGUAUGAGUUAUAUCUGCUCCUCUGCACAUUACCCAUACGCCCCCCCUCACCGACCAACGCAACACCUAUAGCACCAUAACGCCAUUUUCUUUGUAAAGCAAUGCGCGAAUAACCGAAAGAAAAACACAACAACCGCAACAAUAAAUAAAGUGUAACAUAUGCAAAUGAUGAUGAGAAGUAUUUCGAUAUAGCGGCUUCUCCUUCUGCGUCUGCAGAGAAAAAAAUAUUUAUUGUAUGAUUUAUGUAGCGUUAAUUGUUGUUUUUGAAAGUUUUUUGGCUGUUCGAAAUCUUCUGGUAAAAUGUUAAUUAACAUAUUUAUAAUAAUAUAUAUUAUUUUGAUAGUUUUCUCUAAGUUUUUAUGCGCGUGUAUUUCUACGAAUCCUCUUUAGCUGCCAUUCCAUCGAUGAUGGUGACUCUCGCCAUCGAUGUCCUUGGCCGCUCAAAUGAAUAUGCAACAUCGAACAGGUUAAGAUGCUUCUGCGAUUCUGGAAGUGGGGAAACCCACAAAAGCCGACCGGCAACAACGGCUUCAAAAGUGCAAAGGGCAAGAAACAGGCUGCUAUACGUAUAUGAACGUAAUCGUUACAAUUUCAAUCUCAUUGGAGAACGGAAAACUUCAUCGAUGCUCGCAGAUACAGACACCCACAACGACCGUAAAACAAACGGCGAACCGCGGCAACAUGCACGUCAACAACAUGUGGCGACAACAGCAGUUGCAACUGCAGCAGCAACAGCAGCAGCAGCAACUUGCGCCUGUUGUCAUUUGUGCAAUUCCCACACACAUGCAAAGUUUUUCUUUAAUAAAAUUAAAUGUAAUGCCGCCAAAUGCUCGGCGCCCGCCA
rnacentral:sRNA from 1 species